rnacentral:tRNA from 1 species
GGAGGGGUGGCCGAGUGGUCGAAGGCGGGCGACUCGAAAUCGUCUUGGCGGUGAUGAGCUGUCACGUGGGUUCAAAUCCCACCCUCUCCGCCA